rnacentral:tRNA from 1 species
GAGGGUAUGGCUCAGUGGUAGAGCGUGUGCCUAGCAUGCACAAGGUCCUGGGUUCAAUCCCCAGCUUUA